AAAACCCACGGGACCAACAUGCGAAAAAACAAUUCGCUAAGAGAAAAGAUUACAAGGUGAUUACCGACUCCACGGACUCAACCUCUCUUAACCUCCUAUGAAUCUCGUGCAAUCCUCCGGGUUGUCCACGCCCUCACGUUUGAAUCCACGAACGCCACGUCUCGAAUCCACGAAACGCCUCGCACACGUCCGAAUCCACGAACGCCACUCGAAUCCACGAGCCUUUGAUCCGAAUCCUCGAACCGUCGUUAAUCACGCCGAAUCCACGACGCCGUUUAUGAAGA
rnacentral:lncRNA from 1 species